GCUUCGACCAAGGUUCGACUCGAGCGUCAGCGAGAGAGCGUUGCCGCAGGCAACGACCCGUAGGGCGAAGCGCGCAGCGCUGAGUAAUCCUUCCCCCACCACCA
rnacentral:sRNA from 1 species